rnacentral:rRNA from 1 species
GACGAACGCUGGCGGCGUGCUUAACACAUGCAAGUCGAACGAGGUGGCGAACGGGUGAGUAACGCGUAAUCAACCUGCCCUUCAGAGGGGGACAACAGUUGGAAACGACUGCUAAUACCGCAUACUUCAGGCGGGGAUUGCGUCGGAUGAGCUAGUAGGAGGGGUAACGGCCCACCAAGGCGAUGAUAAGUAGCAGGUGUGAGAGGAGGAAAGGCCCAAGGGGGACUGAGAAACAGCCCAGACUCCGAGUGGAGGCAGCAGUGGGGAAUCUUCCGCAAUGGACGAAAGUCUGACGGAGCAACGCCGCGUGAGUGAUGACGGCCUUCGGGUUGUAAAGCUCUGUUAAUCGGGACGCGGUACCGGAAUAGAAAGCCACGGCUAACUACGUGCCAGCAGCCGCGGUAAUUC